rnacentral:rRNA from 1 species
CUACUAGUGCCUACCAGCCCAAGACCGGUUACUCACUGAAGCUAAGGAGGGCUGAGUCUGGUCAGUACCUGAAUGGGAGACCACAUGGGAAAACUAGGUUGCUGUUGGA